CCGUCUGAAUCACCAAUUAUGGAACUAAGCGUAUUGCCUCUGAUCAAAGGUGACACAACACUACAAAACUAAUCUGAAUGAGUUGAAUGACUAAUAUUCCCAUGUUGGGGACACACUUUAGACCAGUGACUAAUUUCUUUAUAGUCAUAGCAAAUCCCUAAAGCCCUAACCUGGAAAGAAACACGAGAUGACACCAAUUGGAUGACCAAUUGAUGCACAGGACACUAGCUACUAAAAUGACCAUCCUCCCCAUAAUCAUAACACACCUCAGGAACUCUAGGCUGGCGAGAAAUAAAUGCUAACUCUAUCUGAACAAUAAACUCACGCUUGGAGCACUCUCAAGACUAAUGUCCCAUCUCG
rnacentral:lncRNA from 1 species